rnacentral:rRNA from 1 species
AUUGAACGCUAGCGGGAUGCUUUACACAUGCAAGUCGAACGGCAGCGCGGACUUCGGUCUGGCGGCGAGUGGCGAACGGGUGAGUAAUGUAUCGGAACGUGCCCAGUAGCGGGGGAUAACUACGCGAAAGCGUAGCUAAUACCGCAUACGCCCUACGGGGGAAAGCAGGGGAUCGUAAGACCUUGCACUAUUGGAGCGGCCGAUAUCGGAUUAGCUAGUUGGUGAGGUAACGGCUCACCAAGGCGACGAUCCGUAGCUGGUUUGAGAGGACGACCAGCCACACUGGGACUGAGAAACGGCCCAGACUCCUACGGGAGGCAGCAGUGGGGAAUUUUGGACAAUGGGGGAAACCCUGAUCCAGCAAGCCCGCGUGUGCGAUGAAGGCCUUCGGGUUGUAAAGCACUUUUGGCAGGAAAGAAACGGCGCGGGCUAAUACCCCGUGGAAAUGACGGUACCUGCAGAAUAAGCACCGGCUAACUACGUG